rnacentral:lncRNA from 1 species
AAGCAGAAGAAACAGACAAACAGAUCAUUCAUAUAUAGACUGUCCACUAAAUCAUUUGAUUCUUCAUUUAAUGCCCAGCUGCAGGCAUCAUGAUCUACUUGAGGCACUUAGUUGAAUAAUUAUAUAUCAUAAAGGCUGUUCUUCAGCUGCUAUCACACCUUCCAAAUGAGUUACAGGAGAGUAUUUCAAUUCUCAAAAGCAGAGUCAAAAUACUUGUGAUGUGAAUGAGUAACCAAGGGAAAAAAAACAUGGGUCUAUCCAACAAUAAACUAAAAUUAUUAUGGUUACAGAGAAACUGAAAGUUAUCCUAAAACCAUUGUAGAACCAUGUUGCCACUUAAUAUUGUUGCACGAAAAAUUUUCCCCUUCCCUUCUCUCUUUCUUUUCCCACCUCGGUUUUAAGUCAGCUAACAUAAAGUAGCUCAAACACAAUGAAAAAGGCAAGGAGAACUUCCCAAUUACUUCAUCUUAGAUUAAUGCUAAGUAUAAUUUAACUGCAUCUUGCUGGUGUGGUUGGUUGCACUUAAUAGUUUGCCCUUACAAACUAACAUGAAGAGAAGUUUUGAACUUAGGCAUCCUCACUCUGGUUUGUGUAUAGCUGGCAAGAGAAUAUGUUAUAGUAUUUACUGAAAGCUACAAGUGAUUAAUCCCAAAAUUCAUAGAAGGCCUGUAAAAUGAUCAUAAUCAUCUUACCCAAAGAUCCAAAUGCUCAGUGAUAGAAAAUGCCAAACUAGUAAUUUCAAGGAAAUGAUACAUAUAGUGAGCUAAAUAUCAACAGUUCCAGGAUAAUAAAUAUAGAAAAACCUUCCAAUUACUUGAUACAAACAAUUGUUCUGAAAGUUCCAAAGUAAAGGUUGGAAUUAGGGGAGCGCAUCAUUCAGUUACAACCAAAAUAACUGAACUAAACCUUCCAAUAACUUGAUUAAUAAUAAUACAUUAUUAUAGUUUUAUCAAUGAUAUCUAGUUAUAAAUCAUAUUUCUUAUUUCUUUAUACAUAAAAAUGAUUACAAAUCUGUUUUAUUAAUAUACAACUAAUUAAUAAUAUAAAAGAUAUGUUCUACUUUUCUGUUAUAACCAAUAAACGACUGAAUAUUUCGGUUUCAUUCAGAUUCGUUUUCUUCCCAAUUUCAGUUAGGUUCAGUUGUGUAAUUUUAAAGUCCGGUAUAAAAUUCAGUUUCAGUUAACUAAAUGCUUACCCCAAGUUGGGAUAUCGGAAAAGUCAACACUAGUUUACAUGAAGACAUUGGAUCAAUGAAGAUGGCAAUUUUCAGCUGCCAAGAUGUAAAAGGUUUUUUCUUUUCUUUUUUUUUUUUUUAAUCAAGACAUUUGGGAAACGCAACAGCAUUAGCACAUAUUCAUACAAUUCAUGUGGAAUAAAAAGCAAAGGGAACAUAUAGCAGAUGUACAGGAAUGCUUCAAAAGAAUAUUACAACUUGAACCCAAGGACACCAAUUUCCAGUCUCAUGGAAUCUAAAUGCUAAACAAAUAGGUAAACCACUGUCAUGAACAAAAAAAUAAACAAUAUUAUGCAAUUUGUUUAUCUCCUUUAUACUCAGAGAUCUUUUAAUGAUAUGCACUAAUAAGGAUAAUUACAAAAUGAGAUAAUAGCUUAAGACAACCUAAAGAUACAAUACAGGAAAAUCAUAUUGUAAAACCCACUGCUUAACCAGCAUGACGAGGGUGCAGCUCACUAAGCCAACAAGCUAUGGCUUCUACAGAAGUGGAAACUUUUGCAAGUUUCCAAUAUUACCUGCAGUCUAUUGUCUUAGGACAAGAUUAAUAGCAAUCAUCCAAGAAAUGUCCUUCAUUGUGGUGAAUUAAGUCGGUCAUUAAAAAAAAAGGACAAAAAAAUAAAACACAGCAUAAACCAUAUAGAAAGCAUGCACUGUGCAUAGAAGUCCCUCUAACUACACCAAUUCAUAUAUACAUCUACAGUAAAAUCCAAUUGACAAUCAAUAAAUGAUAGAAUCUCAAGUAAACCAUUUUUAAUCAUCAUUCAUAGUCAAAUCAAAUUAUGAUAUACUUUAGAAGUCUAAAUAGAAUCUAAAUAUUCUAUUCUACAUUGUAUCAUAUUCGUAAUAACCCGUUAUUAAAGAGGCGCGCCUCAGGCUCCAGGCGCACGAGGCUCAGAGGUCAGCACCUUGACACUCCCCAGGCGGUUGAUGAUUCAAAGGCGCACCUUGUGCCUAGGCUCGCCUUGCGCCUUGCGCCUAGGCUCGCCUUGGCAAUCCAGGCACCCUAUUCAAAUAUGGCUGGCUAUUUCAUGCUUUUCUUUAAUACUAAAAUUUAAUUUUAAUUUAUUUUUAAUGUGAUA